rnacentral:tRNA from 2 species
UGGGCCUGUAGCUCAGUUGGUUAGAGCAGUGGACUCAUAAUCCAUUGGUCGGAGGUUCGAGUCCUCCCGGGCCCACCAU